AGGAGUUUCCACUUUUGUGUCUUCCUCAUUCUCUUUUUGCCUGCUGCCAUCUGUAUAAGAUGGGACUUGCUCCUCCUUGCCUUCUACUAUGAUUGUGAGGCUUCCCCAGACACAUGGAACUGUCAGUUUCCCUGCACAUACUCUCUUGCCUGCCACCAUGAAGAUGUGCCUUUGCUCCUCCUUCACCUUCUGCCAUGAUUGUGGGGCCUCCCCAGCCAUGUGCAACUGAGGCUGGAUUUUAGGCUACACCAUGACUUUGCAAGAGAUCACUG